CAAUUGUUCAAUGGUUCAUUUGCUUAUCCCUGAAUAAAACAAACAUCACCACAGGGUGAAGUCAAGCUAUGAAGUAAAUCUCAUUUUUCAAGCAUUCAUCUUGAAAUACAUUCAUCUCCAAAACGUAUAUAAAUAAGAUGGCAACGGUCAGUUCAAAAGAUGAAUAAAAACAGAUUUUUAAAAAAUACUAGGAAGCAAGAGCAAAAGUUUAAUGAGGAAAAAGCAUGCCUGCUUGGCAAUCUGCUAUGACUGAAAGAAACAACACAGCGUCGUGUGUACAGAAAGGCUGUUCACACAUGGCCUUACUAGAUGUGGAUGAUUUUUUAUGAACACUAAGACUUUUCUCAAAUGUUUUUGAAGCCAAUGACCCUCAGGAAAUUGUGGUUGUUACCUUCGAAGGUAUUGCCUUCGCUGGGGCCAGUCAACAAGGUAUCUUUCCUUCCUG
rnacentral:lncRNA from 1 species